UAAGUGGUUGCCCCAUUCUAAGGAAACGUUACGGUAAGGAGGAGAUGGGUGAAGGUUGGCAAAAGAUUUCUCACAUCCCUGACAUUUAUUUUGAUGAUAUAUUAUUAUAUGUGAGAAAGACAGAACUCUUUAAUUAGAACCGGCAGGAGCAUGUAAAUUCUUCUACCAGUGUUAAUUCUUAACGGUAUAAUAUUUUACUAUAUUUUAACAAUCCAUUUUAAUUAAUUAUGUAAGUCAUAGUUAGGUCACUGGGAUUUUUGUCAUUCAGAAAAUGGAAUGCUCAUUUUAACAUCUACCAUUCAUUGGGUUGAUUUGGUUAUGACACGUUUGCUUUUGGUCUGUGUUUGACAGCUUGGGCUUAGAAGAUACUGAAGAGCUACUUCAGAGUGGCUUCCGAUUUACUUUGUGCAUUUGAAGAUUUUCCCUUAAUAUUUUUGGAAUCAAAUCGAAGGGCAUUCUGGUAUAAUCAAAUGGAGGAUUUCAUUCAGUGUUGUAUUAAGCACCGUAUGUUUCAUACACCUCCUUACUGUAAUUGGAUUGAAAUCAUUUGUAAUCUAUUGUUGACUUGGAUUUUAUUUCCUACUUCCCAUUUAUUCUCACAUCCUCUCUCUCUCUCUCUCUGUUUUUUAUUCUUUUUUAAUUAUUGUGCACCCCAAACUAGAUUACCUUGUGUACCCCAAACUACAUUACCUCUUAAGGAAUUAUUGUUAACCCCAACUUACAUGUAAAUGUGCAAUCGUUGAUGGAUCUCGAGUUGGCGGAAUCUCUUUAAUGAUUUAGUUCUUAAAAAUAGCUAUUCUUCCGUAAAUGGUGUUCAUAAAUAUGUCCAUGACAUAAAAAAAAAAAGAAAAAGGAUAUUAACUAAUACAUGGUUUCUAUUUCAAGAGCCAUCAUUAAAAGUACAAAAUUCUGAUUGCCAAAUUCUUCUCUACCAAAUAAAAGUUUGAUUAAAUUGAAUUGAAUAUAUAGCACAAUUGAAUAGCAUCAAAUACUCAAUGGAUCAGCUAAAAAAAACAAAUUACCAAAACAUAGAUUCUAAACAUAAUAACAAUUUGAAAUGGUAGAGGAUAUUCAGUCGACUUGUGUAUUUAGCAUCGUACACCUUAUGCCCUAGAGUAGUAUUAGGAUGAGUUCUCUUCUUGAAAAUAUUGUGCACCCUAAUCCCACAUGGAAGUGUGUGAUCAACCCCAUGAGAAUCAUUAUACAUCCCAACUCACAUGCAAAUGUACAAUUCCUUGUGGACCUCGGGUUGUGGGCUCUUCCCUAUGAUUUGGUUCGUGGGAGUGGCUAAUUGUUUACGUAUCCAAGAAUAUAUAUGCGAUCUAAAAAAAUAUAAAAAAGGGGAUAUUAACUGAUACAUGGUUUCCAGUUCAAGAGCCAUCAUCAAAAUUACAAGAUUCUUAUUGCCAAAUUCUUCUCAACCAAAUAAAAGUUUCAUUAAAUUGAAUUGAAUAGCAUCAAAUAUUCAAUGGAUCAGCUAAAUAAAAGGUACUGUUUGUAAAAACAAAUUUAAUAUAUCUCAAAAUUAAGCAGAUUAUUUUGGUAAUUAAAAUAAGAACUUCAAAAAAUAUAAUAAAGAAAUGAAUUAAUAUGGCCUGACGUAGUUAAAACAUAUCGGUAGACUCGAGUAACUUGUUUAAAUAUUAUUGGUUUUUUUUUUGAAAAAAUAAUUUUGGUCAAAACGAUGUUAUUUUAAAUUUUUUUAUAAAAAAAUUAGAUUAACUUGGGUUAACCCUCCUAUAUUAUACCUAAUUCUUGACCCGGGACGUUGAACCUCAAGUAAAGUUUUAAAAACGUUGUCCCUAUAAUUUUUUUUCUAACAAUGUAGCACUAUAUUCACUUUUCAUUUCUUUAAUUUCACCAUUUUUAUCUUGAUUUAAGUUUUUUUAAUUUAAUUUAAUCAAUUUUAUUAUCGGUUAAAUUUCUUAUAUUUUAAUAGCCUAAAAAAAUUAUAAUAAGUGGUUUACAUUACCAUACAACAAAAAAUUAAUAGCAUACAUAUCUACAGUCAUGAUUGAUUAAAUAUUGAAAAAACUUAUCAAGAAAAUUAAUAUAAUCAAGAAUAAAGAGUUCAGAAUUUUUGUUAAAAUUCAAAAAAAUGGUGAAAUGUCUGAUUUUUAGGGAUAAUGUCAACAAUUUCAUUAAAUCUAAAAAAGUUAUGAAAUCUCCUAUCUUCAAGGAUUAACGUGAAAGUUUUUGUUAAAAUUCAAGAAAUUGUGAAAUCUAUUGUCUUUAGGGAUUAAUGUAAAAAAAAUUAAAAAAUUAAUGAGACCUCCUAUUUUAGAGAAUGAAGAUGGCAAAAUUUUUGUUAAAAUUCUUUUAUUCAUAACAGUUGAGAUUAAAAUAAUUUAGAAAAACAUAAAUAAUGGUAAUUUUUCAUUUAAAAAAAUAUGAUAAGGAUGAUGUUUAACCUAAUACUUGAAUCUUUAAAAAACUAAUAUCAAUUUUAGAAUUUUUAAAUUUUUUUAAUUAUUAGAUAACAAUUCUUUUUAUUGCGUUAGUCACGGUGUGUUGCUAAAAUUAACAUCAUAUUUUACUAUCAUUACACUAUAAAAAAACAAAAAACAAUAUGUAACGGCUCUUCAAAAUAUACUAGCUUUGAUACCCGCGCGAUGCCGUGGGUUAUUUUUUUUUGCAUAAAAAAUAUUAAAAAGAAUAAAAAUUUAAAAAUCUUGGGUUUUUCUACAAAGUUAUACCCAAGAAUCUUGGGUUUGGCUGCAACGCCUGACCUAAGAGUAAUAUUUAUAAUAUUAAUAAUAAAAUUAAACUUGCAUGACCCAAGUUUAAGUGAGUCUGGCUGUAACACCGGACCCAAAAAUACUGGAUGUAGGUCUAGCUAUAAGGUCGUGUCACAAAAGUGUGAUAAUUAAAUAGAUUAAUUACAAAAAACAAAAAAAAUCAACAGGAAGGAAAAAACUAAUGAAGAAAAAGAAAAAAAAUUGAAUUAAUUGGGUUAACCUUUUAAACCAGGUUAUCCCGUAAAACCUGAGAUAUGCGUUAUCAACGUUUGAUAACUAAAUAGAAAAAAAAAUGACGGGUUUACCUAGAAUUAACCAGGUUAACCCAUCAAAUCAAGUUAACCCGUCAAGCCCAGGAUACGUGUCAUGAAAGUAUGAAAGUCUAAUAAUUAAAUAGAAAGAAAAUUAACUUUAACAAACUAAACUAAAUGAAAAAAAUAACUCGUCAAAUCAGGUUAACCCAUCAAACCCGAGAUUCGUAUUAUGAAAAUCUGAUAACUAAAUAAAACAAAUUUAACAUUAACAAACUAAAUCAAACAAAAAAAAUUCAUUAAAAAAAUAAAAAGAAAAAACAAAAGAAAAAAACAGUUAUAUAAUAUAAUACAAUAUAAUUAUAAUUAUAAUGAAAAAACGUGGGGAAAAUUUAAAAAAAUGGAAAAAAAGUGGGGAAAGCUAAAGCUAAAGCUAAAUUCUCAACCAACUCAAUAUUUAAAAAAUAAAUUUAACAAAGAUAAUUUAAAAAAAAAAACAUGUGGGGGAAACACUAUAGCCAAACAAAAACCAUGUAAGGGAAACACUGUAGUAAUCCAUAGUAUUUUUUUUUUAAAAAAAGCUACAAAGCUAAUCUCUCAACCAGUUCAAUAUAUAAAAAAAACGGAAAAAGGCUAUCUAAAAAAAAAAAGUCAAUUUUGGGUAAAAGAAAUGAAAAAAAAUGUACAAAAAAGGAAACAAAAGCGAAAAAAAAACACGUGGGGAAAGCUACAGUGUUUUAAAGAAAAAGACAAAAAAACUAAAUUUUCAACCAGCUCAAUAGUAAAAAAAUAAAAUCAACAAAAAUAAUUCUGAAAAAAAAAAAAACAAAAAAAAUAUGUAAAAAAUGACAAUUUUGGAAAAAAAAAAACAUAUGGGGAAAGUUAAAGCUAGAUUAUCAGCCAGCUCAAUAUUGAAAAAAUAAAUUCGAUAAAGAUAAUUUUUUAAAAAAAAUAUAUGGGGAAACACUGCAGCAAAACAAAAACUAUAUAGGGGAAACACUGUAGCAAUCCAUAUUGUUUUUUUUUAAAAAACUACAAAGCUAAAUUCUCAACCAACUUAAUAAAAAAAAAAAAAUCUAAAAAGAUCAUUUUGAAAAAAAAAAAAGAAUAAAGAAAUCAUAAAAAAAAGAGAAAACAAUGUAUGAGAAUAUUAUAGCAAUCCACAACGAGAUGAUUUGCCCGCGCGCUGCCGCGGACUUAUAAAACAAAUGCACUUGAUAGUGUUAUAAUUGUGAACCAGCGCUAGAUAAGUAAUAGAAAUUAAAGGUAUGAUGGAGCAAAUAUUUCAUGACGGAAAAAAAAGUUAUGUUGGUGAUCAAAAACUUAGAGACUGAACAAAAUGAUUUGUAGCAAUCUACAGUGUUUUGUGAGGAAAGAUACAGUGAUUUCGCCACAUGAUUUAGCUUUUCAGUUAAUAAAAAGCAAAAAAAAAUACAAAGCUAAACUCUCUACCAACUUAAUAUUAAAAAAAAACCAACAAAGAUAAUUUUGGAAGAAAAAAAACCCAUGAGAAAAAACGUUGCAGCAAUUGACAAUGUUUUGUGAGGAAAACUAUAGCGUUUUUCCCAAUAAAAUAAACUAAAAAACUAUUUAGAGAAAUAUUAUAACAAUCCAUAGUGUUUUGUGAGAAAAACUACAACGCUUUCCUCAUAUGAUUUAGCUUUAUUGUAAUUAUAAUUCUGAACCAACUCAAUAUUAAAAAAAAAAUCGAUAAAGAUAAUUUUAGAAAAAAUCAUAAAAAAAUCACAUGGAAAAACACUGCAACAAUUCACAGUGUUUUAAAGAAAAAAAUAACAAAGCUAAAUUCUUAAUCGGCUCAAUAUUAAAAAAAAUCAACAGAGAUAAUUUUAGAAAAAACAAAUAACAAAACAAACACAAAAAAAAGGGAAAAAAAUCAUGUUGGAAACACUGUAGCAUUUCACAGUGUUUUGUGAUGAAAUCUACCGUGCUUCCCCACAUGAUUUAGCCUUAUUUGUAAUGACUUGUAAUUGUAAUUCACAAACAACUCAAUAUUAAAAAAAUAAAAUUAAAAAAGAUAAUUUGAAAAAAAUUAUAACAAAAAAACUAUACGGAGAGAUACUGUAGCAAUCCACAAUGUUUUAUGAGCAAAGCUACAAUACUUUCCCCACAUGAUUAAGCUUUAUUACAAAGUUAAAUUUUAACCAACUCAAUAUUUUAAAAAAAUAAAAUCGACGAAAAUAAUUUUGGAAAAAAAUAUUACGAAAAAAAACACAAAAGAAACUGGAAAAAACCAUGUGAGGAAAAACUGUAUCAAUCCAUAGUGUUUUUUGAGGAAAAACUUGUAUUUACUUGUAAUUUUAAUUUUUAACCAGCUUAAUAUUUAAAAAAUAAAAUUGACAAAGAUAAUUUUAGGAAAAAACAUAACAAAAACAGAAAAAAACCAUGUGGAAAAAAACAUUGUAGCAACCAACAGUAAUUUUCGAGGAAAGUUACAGUGCUUUCUUCACAUAUUGUAACUGUAAUUUUUAACCAGCUCAAUAUUAAAAAAUAAAAUAAAAAAGAUAAUUUCGGAGAAAAUCAGAAAAAAAACCACGCGGAGAAACACUGUAGCAAUCAACAAUGUUUUAAAAAAAAUUACAAAACUAAAUUCUCAAUCAGCUCCAUAUUAAAAAAAAUAAAAAAUAUAAUUUUGAAAAAUAAAGAAAUAAAAUAGAAAAACUAUGUGGAAAAACAUCGCAGCAAUCCACAGUAUUUUUAAGAAAAAAAUUACAAAACAAAAUUUUUAAUCAUGUCAAUAUUUAAAAAGUAAAAUCAACAAAAAUAAUUUUGGAAAAAACAAAAGAAAAAAUUAGGAAAGUUGAAAAAAAAAAAAUUUGAAAAAAAAUUUUUUGAAAAAAAAAAAUAAAAAAAAAACAAAAAAAAAAAGAAAAAAGAGAAAAGUUAAUAAAAAAAAGAAGAGAAGAAUCACUGUGGAUUACUGUUGUAAUCCACAGUAAAAUGUGUGUGGGGGGAACAGUGAUUCCCCCACACCAUUUAGAGUAUGUUUUAAUGUUUUAAAGAAAAAAACUACAUAGUUAAAUUUUUAACCAGUUCAAUAUUUAAAAAAAUUAGCAAAGUUAAUUUUGAAACAAAUUUUUUUUAAAAAAAAAACAAAAAAAAAGAAGAAAUCAAUUUUGGGUAAAAAAAAUGAAAAAAAAAACAUGUAAAAAAAAAACUGCUGCUACAGUGAAAAACCCACAUGUUUUAGAGUUCUUUAAUUUAAGGACACUUUUUACUGUAACUAAAUAUUUUCGAUCCGUAACAAAAUUAUCAGAAAUGAUAAUUAUAUAUAAUGUCAUAAUUAAGUUGAUGCAGCGACACCAAACCCUCUAUAAAAUAGAUUAAAGAUCCAAUUUAAUAAUUUGAUGAAAUUGAAAAUUAAAGAUCUAAUUUAAUAAUUUGAAGGAAUUUGAUAUGAUUUAUAUAUUACUUUCAAAUUAUAUGUAAUCUUUUAUGUUAUGAAAAGGAGGUUUGAAUUCAAGAUUUUCUAGGAAGAAUUAGCAACAAUAUGUAAAGGCAGGUUCAUCUGCAUCGAUACGAGAGAGUUUUAUUUGCUAGGACAUGCCUUGUUGUAUGAUUUAUACAGUGUUUGAUUUUGUACUUCAACAACAUUUAAAAAAAAAUUAAAUUUUGAAACACUACAAAAACUAAAAAAAAAAAAUCUUGAGACACUAAAAUACAAGCUUCCUUUUUUUUUUUUCCAACCUACAAGUUGUGCUCUCCAAAAACUAAUAAAAAAAAACUAAUAAAAACUAACUUAAUUUGAGACACUAAAAUAAAAAAAUGUUGAGACACUAAAAUACAAGCUUCACCUGCAACGCCAAACCCUAAGUAUAUAAACUAACUUCCAUUCACAAUCAUCAGCCGCCUCCUUCUCUUCACCCUCUCUUUCUCUCUGCUCAUCCCGUCAUCAUUGCUUCUCUCUCUCUCUCUCUCUCUCUCUCUCUCUCUCUUUCCAAUCAGAACUAAACAGACGAUGGCUGAGGCACUUCUAUCUCCGAUCUUGGAGCAGUUAACCACGAUCGUUGCUCAACAGGUAUUUUUCUACCAUCUGCAAUAACCUGAUUUACCUAGCAGAGAUAAGAAAUAUAUAUGAAGUUCAAGCCUUUUUUCUUCCUAUCAUAAAAAUAAUACUUUUAACUUGAAUAAAUAAAAAUAAUAUUUUAAAUCCUCAAGUAUAUAUUUGGAUUUUAUUAAAGAAUCUUCUUUUUCUUGUUUUAUUAUUUUUCAUAUUUCCAAAAAUAACCUAAAGAAAAUAUAUCAUUCCAAAUAUAGGAAAACCGAAAAAGGCAAAACAAGAAAUAUUAAGGGUAAAAUAAUCAAUAAAAAGUUCAAAGGAUUACCGAGCGAGUAUAUAUAUAUAUAUAAGGUAAAAUAUCUAUAGUUUAAUGUAAAAUAAAAACCAGAUUUUAUGUCGGUUCAAAGGAGAAAUCCUUCUCUCGGGAGAACAUUAAACUCUUUCCAUGCCUAUAUUAAUUAUAUAUAUAUAUAUAUACACGUUCAGGUUUAACGUUUUACCAUUUAAGAUUCAUUUUAUACCUUCUUGUACAGUAGCAUAGUGCAGACUGAUAUCAUCAUAAUGAUGAUAAAAAGAAAAAAAAUAUAUUAUUAUUUCUAAUAAAUAUUUUAUAUAUAAAUUAUUAAUAUAGUAAAUCCAUUUCACAAUAAAAUAUAUUAAUACAAAAUAGAAAUGUUUCCUAUGCUUGAACUUCCUUGUCUUUUCCACACUAAUAGGUACUGGAAGAGGUGAACCUAGUAGGGGGUGUGAAAUUGUCUUCAAAUCAGAUAAAUGUUUCCCAUGCUUAACGUUUCUUUUCCUUUGUAAACUAAUAGGUACAAGAAGAGGUGAACCUAGUAGUGGGUGUGAAGAAACAAUGUGACAAGCUGAAAAGCAAUCUCCUUGAUAUCCAAUCUGUCCUUGAAGAUGCAGAUAGAAAACAAGUUAAGGAUAAGGCUGUAAGAAAUUGGGUAGACAAGCUCAAAGAUGCAUGUUAUGAUAUGGAUGACGUGCUAGAUGAAUGGAGCACUGCAAUUCUUAGAUGGAAAAUGGAGGAAGCUGAAGAAAAUACUCACAGCCGACAGAAGAUACAGUGUUCCUUCCUGGGAUCUCCUUGCUUUUGUUUCAAUCAAGUGGUCCGACGUCGCGACAUUGCCCUGAAGAUCAAAGAAGUUAGUGAAAAAGUGGAUGACAUUGCCAAAGAGAGAGCUAAGUAUGGCUUUGAUCUGUACAAAGGCACUGAUGAACUCCAGCGACUAACAACUACCUCCUUUGUUGAUGAAUCAAGCGUGAUUGGUCGAGAUGGUGAAAAGAGAAAUGUUGUAAGCAAGUUGCUGGCUGAAAGUAGUCACGAAGCACGGGACGUGGAUGUCAUCUCUCUAGUAGGGCUGGGCGGAAUUGGAAAAACAACUCUCGCCCAACUAGCAUUUAAUGAUUCUGAGGUUACGGCUCAUUUUGAGAAAAAGAUAUGGGUGUGUGUUUCAGAACCAUUUGAUGAGAUUAGAAUAGCCAAAGCUAUCCUUGAGCAGCUUGAAGGGAGACCAACGAAUUUGGUUGAAUUGCAAUCCCUUUUGCAAGGGGUUUCUGAAUCCAUUACUGGAAAGAGGCUCCUUCUUGUCCUUGAUGAUGUAUGGACAGAAAAUCAUGGACAAUGGGAACAACUGAAACCAUCUCUCACAGGCUGUGCACGAGGAAGCAGAAUUCUAGUGACCACUCGUAAGGACGCUGUGGCAACGAUGAUGGGAACUGACCACCGGAUCAACAUUGAGAAAUUGUCCGAUGAGAUAUGCAGGUCAAUAUUCAAUCAUGUGGCAUUCCAGGAAAGAAGCGAAGAUGAGCGCGAAAGAUUGACAGAUAUCGGCGAUAAAAUUGCAAACAAGUGCAAGGGCUUGCCGCUAGCUGCCAAGGUAUUAGGAGGUCUAAUGCAGUCUAAAAGAACAAGAGAAGAGUGGGAACGUGUUUUAUCUAGCGAACUGUGGAGGCUAGAUGAGGUUGAUAGAGAUCAGGUUGAAAGUCGAAUAUUUAUACCUUUGCUUUUGAGUUACUACGAUUUACCUUCUGUGGUAAGACGAUGUUUCUUGUACUGUGCCAUGUUUCCAAAAGACUUCGAGAUGGUCAAAGAUGAAUUGGUGAAGAUGUGGAUGGCUCAAGGUUACAUCAAGGAGACUUCAGGUGGAGAUAUGGAGCUUGUAGGAGAGCGGUACUUUCAUGUCUUGGCAGCGCGCUCUUUCUUCCAAGAUUUUGAGACGGAUAGAUUUGAAGGAAUGAAAUUCAAGAUGCAUGAUAUAGUGCAUGAUUUUGCCCAAUAUAUGACAAAAAAUGAAUGUCUAACCGUGGAUGUCAAUACACUUGGAGGAGCAACAGUGGAGACUUCAAUUGAAAGGGUUCGUCAUUUAAGCAUGAUGGUGUCAGAGGAGACAUCUUUUCCCGUGUCUAUUCACAAAGCCAAAGGUCUUCGCAGCCUCUUGAUCUACACUAGAGACCCUUCGUUUGGAGCUGCACUGCCUGAUUUGUUCAAGCAGUUGACAUGCAUCCGGUCAUUGGAUUUGUCAACGUCUUCUAUCAAAGAAAUACCGAACGAGGUAGGGAAAUUGAUACAUUUGAGACACCUCAAUCUGGCAUCUUGUGGAGAGUUGGAGUCCCUGCCAGAAACCAUGUGUGAUUUAUGCAAUCUGCAAUCCCUAGACGUUACUUGGUGUCGGUCUCUCAAGGAAUUGCCCAAUGCGAUUGGAAAACUUAUCAAAUUGAGGCAUCUCCGGAUUUAUCGUUCAGGUGUGGACUUCAUACCAAAGGGAAUAGAGAGGAUAACAUGUCUUCGAACAUUAGAUGUGUUUAAAGUGUGUGGUGGUGGUGAGAAUGAAAGUAAAGCAGCUAAUCUAAGAGAAUUAAAAAACUUAAAUCACAUUGGAGGGAGCUUUAGUAUACGGAAUCUAGGAGGAGGUAUAGAAGAUGCGAGUGACGCUGCAGAAGCACAACUCAAGAAUAAGAAGCGCCUGCUUCGUUUGGAAUUGGGUUUCGACUACAACCAGGAGAACGGCAUUUUAAUUGAAGCUUUACAGCCUCCGUCAGACUUGGAAUGUCUGACCAUAUCUAGUUACGGAGGGUUGGAUUUGCCACAUUGGAUGAUGACAUUAACCAGAUUACAGGAGCUUAGACUUGAUGAUUGUACAAACCUGGAGGUCUUGCGUCCGUUGGGAGGAUUGCCCAACCUUGAAAUCCUGGUACUGAGCUCGUUGAAGGUGAGAAGGCUGGAUGCUGGAUUUUUAGGUAUAGAAAAGGAUGAGAAUGCCAGUAUUAAUGAAGGAGAAAUUGCAAGGGUCACUGCUUUCCCCAAAUUAAAAAGACUUGAUUUUAGGCAUCUCUUAGAAGUAGAAGAGUGGGAAGGAAUUGAAAGGAGAGUGGGAGAAGAAGAUGUCAACACAACUUCAAUAAUAUCCAUUAUGCCACAACUUCAAUAUUUGAGAAUUAUCAAUUGCCCGUUGCUGAGAGCACUACCAGACUAUGUUUUGGCAGCGCCUCUACAGGAAUUAGACAUAAGGUGGUGCACCAUUCUAAGGAAACGUUACGGGAAGGAGGAGAUGGGUGAAGAUUGGCAAAAGAUUUCUCACAUCCCAAACAGUUAUUUUUAUGAUUAGGUGAGAAAGGCAGAACUCUUUAGAACCUGCUUUGAGUGUAUUAAUUAUUUGCUUUGGUGUUUGCUAAGGUUGAGUGUAAAUAAUAUGUAAGCCUUACCAUUUACUCUAUGUGACUGUUUCAGUGGAUUAAAUCCAAGAAAUUCUUAAACCUCAGUUUCAGUGGAUUUCAUUCAAUGUGACUUUACUGUAAUUCGAUUUUAUUUCCUACUUACCAUUUACUCUCUCAUCCUCUCCCUCUCCCUCUCUCUCUCUCUCUCUCUCUACUGUAAUUGGUUUUAUUUCCUACUUACCAUUUACUCUAUCAAAA
rnacentral:lncRNA from 1 species